rnacentral:rRNA from 1 species
AUUGAACGCUGGCGGCAUGCCUUACACAUGCAAGUCGAACGGCAGCACGGGRGCAACCCUGGUGGCGAGUGGCGAACGGGUGAGUAAUACAUCGGAACGUGUCCUGGAGUGGGGGAUAGCCCGGCGAAAGCCGGAUUAAUACCGCAUACGAUCUMUGGAUGAAAGCGGGGGACCGAAAGGCCUCGCGCUCAAGGGGCGGCCGAUGGCAGAUUAGCUAGUUGGUGGGGUAAAGGCCUACCAAGGCGACGAUCUGUAGCUGGUCUGAGAGGACGACCAGCCACACUGGGACUGAGACACGGCCCAGACUCCUACGGGAGGCAGCAGUGGGGAAUUUUGGACAAUGGGGGCAACCCUGAUCCAGCAAUGCCGCGUGUGUGAAGAAGGCCUUCGGGUUGUAAAGCACUUUUGUCCGGAAAGAAAACC